GACGAACGCUGGCGGCGUGCUAAUACAUGCAAGUAGAACGCUGAAGAGAGGAGCUUGCUCUUCUUGGAUGAGUUGCGAACGGGUGAGUAACGCGUAGGUAACCUGCCUUGUAGCGGGGGAUAACUAUUGGAAACGAUAGCUAAUACCGCAUAACAAUGGAUGACACAUGUCAUUUAUUUGAAAGGGGCAAUUGCUCCACUACAAGAUGGACCUGCGUUGUAUUAGCUAGUAGGUGAGGUAACGGCUCACCUAGGCGACGAUACAUAGCCGACCUGAGAGGGUGAUCGGCCACACUGGGACUGAGACACGGCCCAGACUCCUACGGGAGGCAGCAGUAGGGAAUCUUCGGCAAUGGGGGCAACCCUGACCGAGCAACGCCGCGUGAGUGAAGAAGGUUUUCGGAUCGUAAAGCUCUGUUGUAAGUCAAGAACGAGUGUGAGAGUGGAAAGUUCACACUGUGACGGUAGCUUACCAGAAAGGGACGGCUAACUACGUGCCAGCAGCCGCGGUAAUACGUAGGUCCCGAGCGUUGUCCGGAUUUAUUGGGCGUAAAGCGAGCGCAGGCGGUUUGAUAAGUCUGAAGUUAAAGGCUGUGGCUCAACCAUAGUUCGCUUUGGAAACUGUCAAACUUGAGUGCAGAAGGGGAGAGUGGAAUUCCAUGUGUAGCGGUGAAAUGCGUAGAUAUAUGGAGGAACACCGGUGGCGAACGGCUCUCUGGUCUGUAACUGACGUGAGGCUCGAAAGCGUGGGAG
rnacentral:rRNA from 1 species